GACGAACGCUGGCGGCGUGCCUAAUACAUGCAAGUCGAGCGAAGUUUUUCUGGUGCUUGCACCGGAAAAACUUAGCGGCGAACGGGUGAGUAACACGUAAAGAACCUGCCUCAUAGACUGGGACAACUAUUGGAAACGAUAGCUAAUACCGGAUAACAGCAUUAACUGCAUGGUUGAUGUUUAAAAGUUGGUUUUGCUAACACUAUGAGAUGGCUUUGCGGUGCAUUAGCUAGUUGGUGGGGUAAAGGCCUACCAAGGCGACGAUGCAUAGCCGACCUGAGAGGGUGAUCGGCCACACUGGGACUGAGACACGGCCCAGACUCCUACGGGAGGCAGCAGUAGGGAAUCUUCCGCAAUGGGCGAAAGCCUGACGGAGCAACGCCGCGUGAGUGAAGAAGGAUUUCGGUUCGUAAAGCUCUGUUGUUAGGGAAGAAUGAUUGUGUAGUAACUAUACACAGUGGAGACGGUACCUAACCAGAAAGCCACGGCUAACUACGU
rnacentral:rRNA from 1 species